rnacentral:rRNA from 1 species
GUACACGCUGUGACUAGCAUAUCAAUAAGCGGAGGAAAAGAAAGCUAACAAGGAUUCCCCUAGUAACGGCGAGUGAAGCGGGAAGAGCUCAAAUUUGAAAUCUUAAAGGGGUUUCCCUUUACGAAUUGUAGUUUAAAGAAGUGUUUUCUGUUGAGGUUUUGGUAAAAGUUCUUUGGAAUAGGACAUCAUAGAGGGUGAGAAUCCCGUAUUUGACCUUUACUUUCAACUUUGUGAUACACUUUCAAAGAGUCGGAUUGUUUGGGAAUGCAGUCCAAAAUGGGUGGUAAAUUUCAUCUAAAGCUAAAUAUUGGCGAGAGACCGAUAGCGAACAAGUACCGUGAGGGAAAGAUGAAAAGAACUUUGAAAAGAGAGUUAAACAGUACGUGAAAUUGUCAAAAGGGAAGCGUUUGACACCAGUGUUGUUUUUCUGAAAAUCAAUUAAAGAACUGUUUAUGCUAAGCUUGUUUAGACUUUAUCAGCUAACUGUUUAGUUUUGAGCUUUUCUUUAAUGCACUUUUCAGUUAACAAGUCAACAUCAAUUUCUUUUGCUGUAAAAAAAGCUUGAGGAAGGUGGCUUGAGAUUCGUCUUAAGUGUUUAUAGCCUCUUGCCUAUGCAGUCGGAGAGAUUGAGGUCUGCAGCGUAGAUCCUUCGGGGCUAAAUGCAUUUGUGCUAAGUUAUAGCAUUUUAUAGACAACUUGUUGACUAUGAUUUGUCUUGUAGCUUACUCGCUUAUGUUAUUUUACCUACGCUUAGGAUGUUGACGCGCGUGUGUGCGUG